rnacentral:rRNA from 1 species
CACAGAGGUCUCAAGCGUUGUUCGGAUUCAUUGGGCGUAAAGGGUGCGUAGGCGGCGCGGUAAGUCGGGUGUGAAAUCUCGGAGCUUAACUCCGAAACUGCAUUCGAUACUGCCGUGCUUGAGGACUGGAGAGGAGACUGGAAUUUACGGUGUAGCGGUGAAAUGCGUAGAUAUCGAGAGGAACACCUGCGGCGAAGGCGGGUUGCUGGGCCGACACUGACGCUGAUGCGCGAAAGCCAGGGGAGCGAACGGG